CAGCAGUGGGGAAUAUUGCACAAUGGGGGAAACCCUGAUGCAGCCAUGCCGCGUGUGUGAAGAAGGCCUUCGGGUUGUAAAGCACUUUCAGUAGGGAGGAAGGUAGUGUAGUUAACACCUGCACUAUUUGACGUUACCUACAGAAGAAGCACCGGCUAACUCCGUGCCAGCAGCCGCGGUAAUACGGAGGGUGCGAGCGUUAAUCGGAAUUACUGGGCGUAAAGCGCAUGCGGGCGGCCUGUUAAGUCAGAUGUGAAAGCCCGGGGCUUAACCUCGGAAUUGCAUUUGAAACUGGCAGGCUAGAGUCUUGUAGAGGGGGUAGAAUUUCAGGUGUAGCGGUGAAAUGCGUAGAGAUCUGAAGGAAUACCAGUGGCGAAGGCGGCCCCCUGGACAAAGACUGACGCUCAGAUGCGAAAGCGUGGGGAGCAAACAGGAUUAGAUACCCCUGGUAG
rnacentral:rRNA from 1 species